CCGAUCUUGGCUUACUGCAACCUCUGCCUCCCAGGAGGAUCACUUGAGACAGAGCCAGUUCCUUCCUCUAAAAAAAUACUAAAAAUGAAAUGGGGAGUCACUGUAUUGAUAGUAUUUGAAGCCACAGAACAGUAUGCAACAGCUAGGGAUUUUGCAUGGGAUUAAGAAUUUCUUUGGAGGAAAUAAUUACGACAACAUUUCUCUUAGUUUGUCAGUUCAAGAUUCUGUAUCAUUAGUUGUUUUUAAAAGCCAUCUGCUUUCGAUAGAGGACUUGUCUUCCAAAAACUUUUAAGAUACUGGAAUCAAACCUUGCGCUGAAUCUUCAUACUACCCACAUCAAAUUUGGUUGUCAUGCUUUCCAUGUCAAAUUUGCUUGUG
rnacentral:lncRNA from 1 species